AGCCCGAUGGCGGAUGGUAUCGCGCCCACAUAUCUUAAGAACUCACUAAAAUCUGAGAUACAGUGGGAGGUCCCCGUUCGACUCGGGGUCGGGCUG